GACGAACGCUGGCGGCGUGCUUAACACAUGCAAGUCGAACGGAAAGGCCCUGCUUUUGGGGGGUGCUCGAGUGGCGAACGGGUGAGUAACACGUGAGUAACCUGCCCUUGACUUUGGGAUAACUUCAGGAAACUGGGGCUAAUACCGGAUAGGAGCUCCUGCUGCAUGGUGGGGGUUGGAAAGUUUCGGCGGUUGGGGAUGGACUCGCGGCUUAUCAGCUUGUUGGUGGGGUAGUGGCUUACCAAGGCUUUGACGGGUAGCCGGCCUGAGAGGGUGACCGGCCACAUUGGGACUGAGAUACGGCCCAGACUCCUACGGGAGGCAGCAGUGGGGAAUAUUGCACAAUGGGCGGAACCCUGAUGCAGCAACGCCGCGUGCGGGAUGACGGCCUUCGGGUUGUAAACCGCUUUCGCCUGUGACGAAGCGUGAGUGACGGUAAUGGGUAAAGAAGCACCGGCUAACUACGUG
rnacentral:rRNA from 1 species